UCCUCCACUAAAUUACGGUGCUGAUGCUGCAAGGUUAUCAAGAAAUGAUUCUCAGUCUUCUCUUGAUAGUGCCUACACAGAUGACUGCAGGUCACAAAGCAUCAAAACUUCUGCAGAUGGGGAUAUAGCAUCCAAACUUUUGUUGAAGGACUGCAAGAGAUGGCCAAGCAGGAGUAUGAGAAGCACCUAGUUGAUGGUCAGGUACAGGGGACAGACCGAACUGCUCAUAAAUUUGAAAAGAACGCAAAAGAUGUUGGAUUGGAUCCCAUAUGUGAAGCACUAGAAACUUCUAAUGAUUGGCCACUGGAAUUUGAGAGGAAC
rnacentral:misc_RNA from 1 species